ACUCACCAUGACUCCAGUCAAAACUGCAGAAGACAUUUAAAUGGACCCUAAAGGUUAUGGAAAAAGGUAAAGUAUUAAGAAUUGUCAGAAGGACAGCGUGGAGAAAUUCCUCUGUCACAGCUAAUGAAAUGCUGCAGCUCCUGUACCUGUGCAGCAGACAGGGACAGACAGAGUCCGGUGGAACCCAGCAGUGACCCAGAGACUGCAAAUAGUUCUCCUUGUACUGAACCGGGAUCUGAAGGCCUCACAAAUGACCGUGCCACUUGUUUAUCUGCUCCCAUGCGUCAGCAUGGAGUGGGGCAUCUGCCUGAAACAGCAGAAAUCCGCCCUGCGUCCCCUGCAGACCCUGGCCCUCACCGGCCAGCCUGCAGUGGACACUACUGGCCACGCUGUCAUCGAGAUGGCUUUGACUAUGAUGGCCGAGCUUCACUGUCACUUCAGACUUUGCCUCCGAAGUACCGAGUGUGAGCUGCAGGAGAGCCUAAGUGCCUAGAAUAUUCGCAUUAUGCCAACAGAGUCAUAAACGCCAAUUGAAUGCAGCCACUGGAAUACAGGAGGGUGGCUUGGCUUCAUAGUGUCAUGCAGAUGUGGUCCAAUUUAUGUCUCCAGGUAAGCUGUCCUGCACCCUGUCCCUGGGAGGUGCUGGACAGACAUUCCACCCAUCUGAAGCAGUAAAGCGAGAGAGAAGGAUGCAGGCAGGGACAGGAAAUGGGACCCUCGGUGGAGGAGUUUCCAGGGAGAUGGUGAGGGGACCCCAGACUAGCUAUGCCAGGCACAGAG
rnacentral:lncRNA from 1 species